UACGUAGGGUGCAAGCGUUGUCCGGAAUUAUUGGGCGUAAAGAGCUCGUAGGCGGUCUGUCGCGUCGGCUGUGAAAACUCGGGGCUCAACUCCGAGCUUGCAGUCGAUACGGGCAGGCUAGAGUUCGGCAGGGGAGACUGGAAUUCCUGGUGUAGCGGUGAAAUGCGCAGAUAUCAGGAGGAACACCGGUGGCGAAGGCGGGUCUCUGGACAAGUACUGACACUCAACUACGAAAGCGUGGGGAGCAAACAGG
rnacentral:rRNA from 1 species